UAAUAGGGUCAUUCUACCGAAACGCUAUAUUUGUGUUCGCUUAAAACAUAUCGUAGCUCCGUAAAUUUGAACUAAUUUUAAAACCUAAUUAUUAAAUUUCAUGACCUUCUUCAACAUAUUAAAUAACUAUUUUUAUAAUUAAAUAUAAAAUUUUACUUUAUUUCAAUGGUACAGUACGUGAUUACUCACGUCCUGUAGAAUGUUCGCGACAUAGGAUAUAAUAUUGACGUGUCUCUAAAAAUUAUUUAGAAAGACUCUACAUGUAUGGCAAAUUAAUUAUUGUGUAAAGUAUAUGACAAAGAAAGCACCAAUAAAGAUAAUAAAAAAUCUCACUUAUUAUUUUAAAAGUUAUUUAUCAUUCUACAAUGUUCGUGAAAAAUAAUCACACCUGUAGAAAAAAAUUGCCGAAAUGCUAAAAUUUUUAUUUUUCAAGUUGGAACAUUAGUUUAUAGCUCUAGCAACUCUAUGAUUUGCCUUGUUAUGACUAGUGUAGGACAUAUUUCUGCAAGUGAUAGCAGUUCAGAGAAUCAUUAAGUUGUAUAGGCGUUCUACACCAGUGUCAAAGUUGAAGUCUCAUUUCUGUACUCAAUAAAAAAAAUUUUUUCAGGCAUAUCAGGCAAAACGCGAUUGGAGAAAGAAAAAGAGUAACGUUUAGGAAGAACAAAAUAAGGCUUGGAUACCGAAGAAGAGACAAAAAAUGACCAAAGCUGGACCGGAAGGAGCACAUCGAAA